rnacentral:rRNA from 1 species
GACGAACGCUGGCGGCGUGCCUAAUACAUGCAAGUAGAACGCUGAAGAGAGGAGCUUGCUCUUCUUGGAUGAGUUGCGAACGGGUGAGUAACGCGUAGGUAACCUGCCUGGUAGCGGGGGAUAACUAUUGGAAACGAUAGCUAAUACCGCAUGAAAUUGCUUAUCGCAUGAUAAUUGAUUGAAAGAUGCAAUUGCAUCACUACCAGAUGGACCUGCGUUGUAUUAGCUAGUUGGUGAGGUAACGGCUCACCAAGGCGACGAUACAUAGCCGACCUGAGAGGGUGAUCGGCCACACUGGGACUGAGACACGGCCCAGACUCCUACGGGAGGCAGCAGUAGGGAAUCUUCGGCAAUGGGGGGAACCCUGACCGAGCAACGCCGCGUGAGUGAAGAAGGUUUUCGGAUCGUAAAGCUCUGUUGUAAGAGAAGAACGGGUGUGAGAGUGGAAAGUUCACACUGUGACGGUAUCUUACCAGAAAGAGACGGCUAACUACGUG